rnacentral:tRNA from 1 species
CACGCAGUAUCUCAGCGGUAGAGCACCCGUGGAAUCUAACGGGUGGUGUCUAGGUUCAAGUCCCAGACUGCGUGACAA